AUUGAACGCUGGCGGCAGGCCUAACACAUGCAAGUCGAACGAGUGGCGGACGGGUGAGUAAUGUAUGGGGAACUGCCUGAUGGAGGGGGAUAACUACUGGAAACGGUAGCUAAUACCGCAUACCAUCAGAUGAGCCCAGAUGGGAUUAGCUAGUUGGUGGGGUAACGGCUCACCAAGGCGACGAUCCCUAGCUGGUCUGAGCGGAUGACCAGCCACAAUGGGACUGAAGAACGGUCCAGACUCCUACGGGAGGCAGCAGUUGGGAAUAUUGCACAAUGGGGGGAAGCCUUGUGGAUGCAUGGCGGGUGUAUGGAGAAGGCCUUCGGGUUUUAAAGUACUUUCAGCGGGGAGGCGUUACCCGCCGAAGAAGCAACGGGUAACUCCGGGGCAGCAGCCGCGGUAAUAC
rnacentral:rRNA from 1 species